rnacentral:lncRNA from 1 species
AUGAAGUGGAUGUUUAAGGAGGACCACUCGCUGGAACACAGAUGCAUGGAAUCUGCAAAGAUCAGAGUGAAGUACCCCGACCAAGUUCCGGUGAUCGUGGAAAAAGUCUCGGCUCUCAGAUUGUUGACAUUGACAGGAGGAAGUACUUGGUCCCGUCGGACAUCACCGUGGCUUCUUAGUUCAUGUGGAUGAUCAGGAAAAGGAUCCAGCUUCCUUCCGAGGACGCCAUCUUCCUGUGUGUGGACAAGACAGCCCCACAGUCCACCCUAACGAUGGGAUAGCCUUAUGAGAAGAAGAUGAAGAUGGAUUUUUUUUCUUUUUUCUUUUGUUUUGUUUUUUUGUUGUUGUUUUUUCGAGACAGGGUUUCUCUUGUAUGUGGCCUACAGCGGAGAGAACACU